GCCGGGGUAGCUCAGUUGGUAGAGCAAUCGAUUUGUAAUCGAUAGGUUCGCGGGUUCGAGACCCGCCCCCGGCUCUA
rnacentral:tRNA from 1 species